AAAAAACUUCCCCCAAACCUCAUUUCUGCAAAAGGAGUUGAGAGCGAGCGGCUCAGCUUGCACUCUGAACCCCCGGGGCACUGCGGGGGGAAAAAGUCCCGGAGAGGAGGCAGCAGGACGAGGACCCGGGGCAGCAGACCCAGAGAGAGCUUCCAACCGGGCACUGGCGGCGAGGACCGGCUUCUGUCCCUCCCUUCCUCCCUCUGUCCAUCCCUCAGUCCCUGCCUCCGUCCCUCCUUCUCUUCCUCCCUCCUUUCCUCCGUCCCUCCCUCUGUCCCUCUCUCUCCCCUGCCCUGUGGCCCCGCUGCCCACGCACCUUACUCAAAGGCGGGUGGAGCCACAAGCAAGGGAUCGGCUGCUUGGAGCUCAGCUGUGGGGCCUGAGGGGAGCACAGAUGCCACUAAAUAUCACAUUUGUCGCAACGGAGAAACACCACCAGUGGGAUGGCCCAGCCUCAAAGGAUGGAAGACAAAGCUUAAAAGGCACAGGUCCACCAUUAGAGGCUAAUGAAGGCUCGUUUGGAGCUAAGAGCAAGCUAAUAGCCAACUCAUAACAUACCCUGAUCCAAUGUCCUGCACAGAACAGCUUGUAUCCGGAAGGUGCUUGUACUGAACUUACGACGGCCUAAAUGCCUUUCAAACAACAAGGCCAGCCUAGAUUUUUAAAAACCAUCACUUUUUAAUCUU